GAUUAAAUUUUAUUUAUUAAUUUAUUUUAUUUAUAAAUUUAAUAUAUUAAAAAUAAUUAUAAAAGAUAAAGUUUUAGUAUUGUUUAAAGAAAAAAUAAAUUUAAUAAUAGUUUAAUAGUAUUGUAAAAGAAAAUUGAAAUAAUUUGAAAAAUUUUUAUUUUAAAAGAAAAUUUAAUUUAUUGUACCUUGUGUAUCAGCGUUUUUCAAAUAAAAAAUAAUUAAAUUAUUUUUCUCGAUUUUAAAAGAGUUAAUAUAAUAUAAAAGUUAAUGUAAUAAAAUUAUUUUUAAUAUUAUAUUAGAAAUGAAAUGUUAUUCGUUUUUAAAGGUAUCUAGUUUUUAAAGAAAUGAAUUUAAUUCAGAAAUUAUAAAUUUAUUUAAAAAAUUUUUUAGUUAAAUAAUUUAUAAUUUUAAUAUUUUAUGGGAUAAGCUAUAAAAUAAAUUUUUAAAAAUAUAAAUAAUAUAUUAAUAAAUAUAUGCUUAGAAUUAGCAAUUAUUUGAAAUUAUGUUAUAAUUUAUUUUAUAAUAAUUAUUAUUUAUUAAAUUUUAAUAAUUUAUUUAAAUAUUAAUUUUAAUUUUAAAAAUUAAGUAAUUAUGAAAAAAUUAGUAUAUUUUAUUGUAAAAAUAAAUUUAUUUGAAAAGUUUAAAUAAAGAAUUCGGCAAAAAUAAUGUUCGCCUGUUUAACAAAAACAUGUCUUUUUGAAUUAAAUUUAAAGUCUAACCUGCCCACUGAAUUAUUUUAAAUGGCCGCAGUAUCCUAACUGUGCAAAGGUAGCAUAAUCAUUAGUCUUUUAAUUGAAGGCUGGAAUGAAUGGUUGGACGAAAUAUUAACUGUUUCAUUUAAAUUUUUUAUAGAAUUUUAUUUUUUAGUCAAAAAGCUAAAAUAUAAUUAAAAGACGAGAAGACCCUAUAAAUCUUUAUAUUUUAUUUAUUUUAAUUAUAAAGAUUAUUUUUGUUAUAAUAAAUAAAAAUAUUUUAUUGGGGUGAUAUUAAAAUUUAAAAAACUUUUAAUUUUUAAAAACAUUAAUUUAUGAAUAAUUGAUCCAUUAAUAAUGAUUAAAAAAUUAAGUUACUUUAGGGAUAACAGCGUAAUUUUUUUGGAGAGUUCAUAUCGAUAAAAAAGAUUGCGACCUCGAUGUUGGAUUAAGAUAUAAUUUUGGGUGUAGCCGUUCAAAUUUUAAGUCUGUUCGACUUUUAAAUUCUUACAUGAUCUGAGUUCAAACCGGCGUAAGCCAGGUUGGUUUCUAUCUUUAAUAAAUUAUAAUAUUUUAGUACGAAAGGACCAAAUAUUAAAAUAAUUAUAUUUUUAGUUAAGAAUAUUAAUAAUUUAUAUAAACUAUUUUGGCAGAUUAGUGCAAUAAAUUUAG
rnacentral:rRNA from 1 species